UAAAAAGGGGGGUAGCGUUGCUCGGAAUCACUGGGCGUAAAGCGCACGUAGGCGGAUUGUUAAGUCAGGGGUGAAAUCCUGGAGCUCAACUCCAGAACUGCAUUUGAUACUGGCGAUCUCGAGUCCGGGAGAGGUGAGUGGAACUGCGAGUGUAGAGGUGAAAUUCGUAGAUAUUCGCAAGAACACCAGUGGCGAAGGCGGCUCACUGGCCCGGUACUGACGCUGAGGUGCGAAAGCGUGGGGAGCAAACAGG
rnacentral:rRNA from 1 species